ACGAACGCUGGCGGCGUGCUUAACACAUGCAAGUCGAACGGAAAGGCCCUGCUUUUGUGGGGUGCUCGAGUGGCGAACGGGUGAGUAACACGUGAGUAACCUGCCCUUGACUUUGGGAUAACUUCAGGAAACUGGGGCUAAUACCGGAUAGGAGCUCCUGCUGCAUGGUGGGGGUUGGAAAGUUUCGGCGGUUGGGGAUGGACUCGCGGCUUAUCAGCUUGUUGGUGGGGUAGUGGCUUACCAAGGCUUUGACGGGUAGCCGGCCUGAGAGGGUGACCGGCCACAUUGGGACUGAGAUACGGCCCAGACUCCUACGGGAGGCAGCAGUGGGGAAUAUUGCACAAUGGGCGGAAGCUUGAUGCAGCAACGCCGCGUGCGGGAUGACGGCCUUCGGGUUGUAAACCGCUUUCGCCUGUGACGAAGCGUGAGUGACGGUAAUGGGUAAAGAAGCACCGGCUAACUACGU
rnacentral:rRNA from 1 species